rnacentral:rRNA from 1 species
AGACGUCUACAUUAGAUACCCCGGUAGUCCCAGCCGUAAACUAUGCGCGUUAGGUGUAUCGGUGACCACGAGUCACCGAGGUGCCGAAGGGAACCGUGAAACGUGCCGCCUGGGAAGUACGGUCGCAAGGCUGGAAACUUAAAGGAAUUGGCGGGGGAGCACAACAACGGGUGGAGCCUGCGGUUUAAUUGGACUCAACGCCGGACAACUCACCGGGACGACAGCAAUAUGUAGGCCAGGCUGAAGACCUUGCCUGAAUCGCUG